AACGAACGCUGGCGGCAUGCCUAACACAUGCCAGUCGAACGAGACCUUCGGGUCUAGUGGCGCACGGGUGCGUAACGCGUGGGAACCUGCCCUUAGGUUCGGAAUAACUCCCCGAAAGGGGUGCUAAUACCGGAUAAUGUCUUCGGACCAAAGAUUUAUCGCCUUUGGAUGGGCCCGCGUUGGAUUAGCUAGUUGGUAGGGUAAAAGCCUACCAAGGCGACGAUCCAUAGCUGGUCUGAGAGGAUGUUCAGCCACACUGGGACUGAGACACGGCCCAGACUCCUACGGGAGGCAGCAGUGGGGAAUAUUGGACAAUGGGCGAAAGCCUGAUCCAGCAAUGCCGCGUGAGUGAUGAAGGCCUUAGGGUUGUAAAGCUCUUUUACCCGGGAUGAUAAUGACAGUACCGGGAGAAUAAGCGCCGGCUAACUCCGUG
rnacentral:rRNA from 1 species